rnacentral:lncRNA from 1 species
AAAAGAGUUCCUUGGUCGCCAGGUGUUGAGAGCGGUAGAGGUGUGGCAGGGAAAAGGUAAGGGGAGAAAGAACAAGAAGGAGCAAAAUCUUCCCCUCUUGAUUUCUUGGCACCUUAUGGAAAAUUCAAUUGACCGUUUAUGUGUGGGCCUGUUUCUGGACUCUGAAUUCUGUUUCAUAGAUCUGUGUGUCUGUAUGGCUUUACAGUAUGUCUUAAAAGCUAGUAGUGAUUGUUCUCUUUUCCAAAAUUGUUUUGGCUACUUUAGGAUUCUGUGUUUCUGCAUAAAUUUCUAUAAAAACAUCCUUCUUGGAUUUUGAUUGAGUUUGUGUUGAACAAUAGAUCAAUUUAGGGGCACUUGUCAAGCGUCUUAGCAAUACUCAAUAUUUGUAUUACUAGUUUAAAAAAAUCUAACCAUUGUAGGGUGCAUAGUGAUGAUAGCUCAUUGCAGUUUUAUUUGCAUUUCCCUAAUGGUGAAUGAUGUUGAAUGUACUUUUAUGUGUUGUUUUUGUUUUUGCCAUUAGCAUAAUCUUCUUUGGUGAAGUUUCUUUUCAGAUCUUUUGCCCAUUAAAAAAAAAUCAUACUGUGUGUAUAUACGUGACUGCGUGACCAAUGUGAUUCUGCAACCUGUACACUCAGAAAAAUGAGAAAUUAUAUCCCAUCUGAUUCAAAUGUAUGAUAUGUCAAGGUCAUUAUACUGUUAUGUGUAACUAAUUAAAAUAAAUAAAAAAUUGAAAAAAAAUCAGGUAAUUUGUUCUAUUAUCAAUUUUUAAGAAUUUUUUACAAGUUCUUUUUAACCCAUAUAUUCUUUGUGCAUUAUAUUUGCACAUAAUGGUGGGAUUUAUUGUUACAUAUUUAUACAUGCACACAAUAUAAAAAUACAAUUUGGCCAGUUUUACUCCCAGUGGUUAUUAUUUUUCUUAUGGCUUAGUAAAACUCCAUUCUGUGUAUACACCAUAUUUUCUUUAUCCAUUUAUCCAUUGAUGGACACCUAAUUAGAUUCCAUAGUUUGGUUUUUGUGGAUUGUGCUGCUAUAAACAUGGGUAUGUAUGCAUCACUAUAGCAUGGUGCCUUUAAUUCUCUAGGACAAGCACUGAGGAGUGCUAUAACUAAGCCAUAUGGUGGUUCAUGCCUUGCCUUUUGAGGAAGCUCCAUACUGAUUUCCAAAGUGUUGUACUAAUUUACAAUCCCACCAACAGUGUAAAAGUUUUCAUUUUUUUUCCAUAUCCUCUCCAAUAUUUAUUACUGUUUAUAUUCUUGAUGGCUGCCAUUCUGAUUGAAUGAGAUGAAAUCUUAGUAUAGUUUUUUUUAAAUUUUAAUUUUAUUUAUUUUUCAAUUGUAGUUGGACACAAUGUUUAAUUUUAUUUAUUUUUAUGUGGUGCUGAGGAUUGAACACAGGGCCUCACACAUGCAAAGCAAGCGCUUUACCACUGAGCUACAUUUAUUUUUUUUAAUAUUUAUUUUUUAGUUGUAGUUGGACACAAUAUCUUUAUUUUAUUUAGUUAUUUUUAUGUGGUGCUGAGGAUCGAACCCAGGGCCUCACACAUGCUAGGCAAGUACUCUACCACUGAGCCACAAUCACAGCCCCUUAGUAUAGUUUUGAUUUGCAUUACCCUAAUUGUUAAUAAUAUUAACAUACAUUUGGUGGCCAUUUGCAUUUCUUCUUUUGAGAAGUGUUUGUUGAGUUCCUUUGCCCAUUUAUUAAUUGGGCUAUUGGUUCUGUUGGUGUUUUUGAGUUCUUCAUAUAUUCUGGAUACUAAUACUCUGUCAGAAUAGCAGCUAGCAAAGGUUUUCUCCCAUUCUGUAGGUUCUCUCUUCACAUUCCUAAUUGUUUUCUUUGUUGUGCAAAAGCUUUUUAAUUUGAUGCUGUCCCAUUUAUUAACUCUUGGCCUAUUUCCUGAGCUUUAAGAGUCCUAUCAAGGAAGCCAUUGCCUGUGCUCUUUUGACACAAGUCCUUUACCAGAUUUAUAUUUGUAAUUUUUUCCCAGCCUGUUGUCUUUUCCCUUCUCAACUGUAUUUUGAGAAACAGAAGUUUUAAAUUCUGAUAUCUGCAAGUUUUUACUUAUGGUUUAUGUACUUUGGGUUUUAGGAAAUCUUUGCCUAGUCCCAAAUCACAAAGAUUUUUCCUCUUGUUAUUUUGUGGAUGUUUUAUGGUUUAAGGUUUUCCAUUUAGGUUUAGCAUACAUAUUGAGUCAAUUUUAUUUGGUAGUGUAAGAUACGGGUUAAGAGUGGCUUUCUUUUCUCUUAUAAAGAUUCAAUUUUUUCAGGCCCAUUUGCUAGAGAAAUUAUCCUUUUGAAAUUGUUUCUCUUAAAAACUUAACCAUUGAGUCACAUCCUCAGCCCUUUUUAGUUUUCAUUUUGAUACAGGGUCUCUCUUAGUUGCUUAGGGUCUCUCUAAAUUGCUGAGGCUGGCUUUGAACUUGAGAUCCUCCUGCCUCAGCCUCCUGAGCUGCUGGGAUUACAGGCAUAUGUCCCUACUCCUGGCUGGAAGAAUUUUUAAAAAACCCUUUCCCCUAUUGAUUUCUUGGCAGCUUAUGGAAAAUUCAAUUGACCAUUUAUGUGUGAGCCUGUUUCUGGACUCUGAAUUCAGUUUCAUAGAUCUGUGUGUCUGUAUGACAUCACCAUGUUGUCCUGAUUAUUUUAGCUUUACAGUAUUAAAAUCACUACUUAAAAGCAAGUAGUGAUUGUUUUCUUUUCCAAAAUUGUUUUGGCUAUUUUAGGAUUCUGUGUUUCUGCGUAAACUUCUGCAAAAAUAUCCUUCUUGGAUUUUGAUUGAUUUUGUGUUGAGUCAAUAGAUCAGUUUAGGGGCACUUGUCAAGUGUCUUAACAAUACUGAGUCAACUGAAUUAUGAACAACAUAUGCUUCACUAUUUAUUUAGAACUUUAAUUUAUCUUUGCAAACUUUUAAUGUCUCUUCAUCUACAUACUAUAAUGAUUUUGUUAAAUUUAUUUCCAAAGAAUGUAUACUUUGUGAUACCAAUGUAUAUAUUUAAAAUUUUAAUUUCCAUUUGUUUGCUACUAGCAUAGAGAAAUACAAUUGAUUUUUCUAUGUUGACCUUAUAUCCUGUGAUCUUGUUAAAUUUACUUUUUAGUUAUGGUUGCUCUUUUGGUAGACCCCUUAGGAUUUUCUAUGCAAAUAGCCUCAUUUCUAAUGCAUAAUUAGAGUUUUAUAUAUUACUUUCCAAACAACUUAAACUUUAUUUUGGUUUCUGGCCUUAUAACACUAACUAGAAACUUCCUUUGAAAAGCAUUGUCAAGAGGAGACGUUCUUCUCUUCUUUCCAAGCUUAGGAGGAGACACUUCAGUUUUACAUUAUGGGAUUACCUAGGUUUUUGGUGGAUUUCCUUUAUGGGGUUGAGAAAGUUUUCUUCUAUUUCUAGUUUGCUAAGGGUUUAUUUUUUAAAUCAUAGAUGGCUGCUUGAAAUUUGUUAAAAACUUCUGCACCUUUUCAGACAAUUAUCUAUUUUCUUUUUUGUCUGUUAAUAUGGGAGACUACAUUUAUUAAUUCUUAUAUAGUGAAUCAAUCUUAUGUUUCUAGGAUAAACCCCACUUGAUCAUUUUAUUUUUACAUGAGCUGGAUUUGAUUUACUAAAGUUGUUAAGGAUUCUUGUGUCUGUAUUCUUUAGGAAUAUUGGUCUGUAGCUUUCUAGUCUUUCAUAUUUAUUUUAAAGUCUUUUUCAUUUGUUCUUUUUACAUAUAGAUGACAGUAGAAUGUAUUUUGACAUGUUAUACAUACGUGAAGUAUAACUUAUUCUAAUUAGGAUCAAAUUCUUGCAUUCUUGUGGUUGAAAAUGAUGUGAAGUUACUUAAAUUUCUGUACUAGUAUUGGUAUCGGGGUAAAAUCAGCCUCAUAAAAUCAAUUGGAAAACAUUUCCUUCUGCUCUUUUGUAGGAUUGGUCUUAUUCUUUCCUUAAAUAUUUGGUAGAAUGCAUCAGUAAAAUCCUCUGGACCUACAGAUUUUCUUUGCAGGAAGGUUUACAAUCAUAAUUUUGUUAGUAUAGAUAGGGAUAUUUAAAUUAUUUUCUUCUGAAUGAAAAAGAAUGGCUGGUCAUUUGUUCUGAUCUUUCAAGGAGCUUAUUAAUUUUAUAUAAUUUGAUGAACUUAUUGGCACACUUUUGUAACAUUCCUUUGUUAUGCCUUCAGUGUGUAAAAUUGUUCAUUCCUGAUGCUGGCCACUGUGUCCUCAGCUUUUCUUGUCCAGUUUGACUAAGGACUUACGAGUUCUACUUUUCAAAGAAUCAGCUUUUGGUUUUAUCGAUCUUUUCUCUUUGUUGUGCCUUUAUUAUUUUAUUAAUUUCUGGUUAAUUCUUUUCUUCCACGUAGUUUGGGUUCUGUUGCUCUUAUUUUUUUUCUAGUUUCUUAUGGUGGGAUCUUAGAUAAUUGAUUUCAAACUUUUCUUCUUUCCAAUGUAAACAUGUAAGUUAUAAAUUUCCCUUUCAGUGCUGUUUUAGAUGAUCCCACACCUUUGAUAGAUUCUGCUUUCAUUUUCACUCUGUUCAAAAUAUUUUCCAAUUUUAUUUGUGAUUUCUUUUUUUGACUGGUGUCAUUUAGAAUCAUGCUGUUUAAUUUACAAAUUUUGGAGCAUUUCUAGAUAUCUUCCUAUUUGGGUUUCUAAUGAAUUUCAUUGUCAUCAAAGAAAAUACUUUGUAUAUUAAUCCUUUAAAAUUUAUCAAGACUUGUUUUAGGGUCCGUUGUGGUUUAUCCUGAUAAAUGAUCUAUGCGUACUUGAAGACGUUUAACCAGCCUUUUUUAGGUGGAGUUUUUUUUUUCUGAGUAUAUAGAUUUGUUUAAUCUGACACAUUACAUCAAAAUAUCACACUGUACACCAUUGAUAGGUUAUUAUUUCUAUGUAUUUAUGUAUCCAUUAAAAAUAAAUUUAAUUUAGAUUUCAAAAAUAAAUGUCAAGAACCUCUCGUUUUAUUCUUUGAUUUUUAAAAGCCAUCUAAAGAUUAAAAAAAAAACGUUUUCAGCUCCCAGACUUAGAUCUUUUCCUAUAACAAAAUGCCUGAGAUAAUCAAAUGAAAAACAGGGAAGGUUUGUUUUGGCUCAGAGUUUUGAAUGCCUCAGUUCAUAGUUGAUUAGUCCCAUUGCUUUUGGGCUAAUGGUGAGGCAGUAUAUCCCGUCAGAAAUGCACAGUAGAUUUUAGUCUUAGAACGGUAUUGAAGUCCACAACUGGGCUGGGGUUUUAGCUCAGAGGUACAGCACUUGUCUAGCACAUGUGAGUCCUUGGGUUCAAUUCUCAGCACCUCAUAACUAAAAUGUAAGUAAAAAAGUCCACAACUAUAAUUUUGUCUACUUCUUCUACAUUGACUGGUUUUUCUUCAUGUAUUUUGAAGCUCUGUUGGCAUUGUACUGUUUUCUGAUGAACUGAUCCCUUUAUUACUAUGAGCACCUGAUCUGAAAUUUACAUUGUCUAAUAUUGAUAUAAUCAAUUUCCUUCUUUUGGCUUAGUGCUUACAUAGUAUAUAUUUAUCUAUCCUUCGUCUGAUCUUGGGGGUAAUUUUUUGUGAAAUUUCUUUUAUUGCUCUUUCAUUUUUAACCUGUCCAUGUCUGUAAAGUCUGUUUCUUGUAGACAGCAUAUAGUAGGAUCUUAUUUUGUACCUCACCUGAUAAUCUGUGUCUUCUAAAGUGAGUAUUUAGACCACUUACUUUCAAUACAAUUGUUAACAUGGAUGACUUUAAAUUUACCUUUUUGAUAAUUAUUUUCCUUCCGUACCAUCUAUUUUUUGCUUUAGUUUUUUCUUUGUUCCUUUAUCCAUUUGCAUUAAUCAAAUAUUUUUUAUGAUUCAAGUUUAUCUCCACUAUUGGCUUACUAGCUUAACCUCUUCUUUUAUGAUUUUUAAUUGUUUACUCUAGAGUUUACAAUAUUUAACUAGUCACAGUCUCUUUUUAAACAUAUCAUAUCACUUCACAUGACAAGUGAGAACCUUACAGCAAUAUACUUCCAUUUUCUUCCUCUUGUUCUUUGUGCAAUUAUUGUUACACAUAUUACUUUUACAUAUAUUAUUAACCCUCACACUUUGUUUCCUUUAAAUUGUCAAAUAUCUUUAAAGAGAUUAAACAGGAAGAAGAAUAUUUUUAUAUAUAUUCGCAAGUUUUCCAUUUCUAGCAUUCUUUAUUCCUUUGCGUGGAUUAAAAUUUCCAUCUGUUAUUAUUUUCUUUCUGCUUGAAGAGCUUCUUUGAAUGUUUCUGCAGUUGUGAUAGUGAUGAAAAUAUAUUGUUUUACUGUUUAUUGUUUUCUUCUGUACAGAAUGAUUAUAUUUAUAGUGUAGGAGAAUGUAUGUUUAAAAAUGCAUCGAGUACUUGCUUUGGCAGCACAUAUUACAAAAUUGGAACAACGCAGAGAAGAUUGGCACAGGCCCUGUGCAAGGAUGACACAUGUCUUCAAGAAGAGUUCCACAUCUUUGUACUCAAAGCCCUGAAAUGUGCACUUAAAAUGGUUUAAAUACUAAAUCUUAUGCUAUGUAUAUUUUACCACAAUAAAAAAUGCACACAAACGGAUCUAAAAACAUACAUAUAAAACUGUUAAUAUUAGUUUACUCCUAGAAGAAAGAGUUGGAGGUAAAGGGAAACUUUUAGGAUUCUUUAAUUUUUAAAGCUUUAAUUUGGAAAUACAUACAUGCGCACGCGCGCGCGCACACACACAUACACACACACACCACAUGAGGGCAAAUACUCAUGAACAUUUCCUAAAAUUAGGGACAUUCUCUAUAACCACAGUAUAUUUAACAAAUACAAUAAAUAUAAUUUUCAUUUUGUUGUUAAUGAGUUAAAAUUGUAUGUAAAUUAUACAAUAUGAUGUUUUAUGUACAUAUUCAUGGACAUAAAAAUGGCUAAAUCAAACUUUUUAACAUAUGUAUUACCUUAUAUACUUAUUAUUUUUUGUGUGAUGGGAACACUUGAAAUUCACUGUCUUGGAAUUUUCAAGUAUAAAAGGUGUCUCUUCAAUGCUCUGAUUUCAUAUUCUUUGGGUGGACACCCAGUUUGCUGGCUCUUAUGGUACUUCUAUUUUUAAUAUUUUGAGGAAACUCUGUGCUGUUUUCCAUAAUUGCUACAAUCCCAGUAAUAGUACAUGAAUCUUUCUUUUUCUCCACAUCCUCUCCAACACUUGUGAUCUUUCAUAUUUUUGAUGAUGGCUAUUCUAACAGAUGUGAAGUCGUAUCUCAUUAUGGUUUAAAAUUGUAUUUUCAUGAUGAUUCGUGAGGUUGAAUUUUUUUUUUCAUAUACCUGUUGGUCAUCUAUAUUUCUUUUUUUUUUAAUGUAUACUCAAGUUCUUUUUUUCACUUUUUAAUUGGGUUGUUUUCUUAUUAUUGAGUUAUUUGAGUUCCUUGUGUGUUUUGGACAUUAACACCUUGUUGUCUGUGUUGUUUGUAAAUAUCUUCCUCCCAUUCCAUAGGUUGUUUCUUUUUUUUUUUUUAAUCAGUUAAUUGCUUACUUUGACUUUUGAUGUAAUUCCUUUGUCUGACUUUCACAUUUGUUUCCUGUAUAUCUAGUCAUACCUUACCCCCCAAAAUAAUUGUCCAGAACAAUGUCAUGGGCCUUUCUCCCUGUUUUCUUCUAGUAAAUUUAUAGUUUCAGUCCUUACACUUAGGUCUUUAAUCUAGUCUGAGUUGAUUUUCUUUUUUAUGGGGUGGGCUAAACGUCUAACUUCAUUCUUCUUACAUGUGGAUAUCUAGUUUUCCCAGCACAAAUUAUUGAGAAGGCUGUCCUUUCCCCGUUGUCUGUUCUGGCAUCUUUGUGGAAAAUCAGUUGACCAUAAAUGUACUGAUUUUUCACUGGGCUCUCUCUUCUGUUCUAUUGGCUUGUGUAUUUGUUUUUAUUUUAGUACUGUGCCAUUUAGAUUACUACAGCUUUGCAGUAGAUUUUGAAAUCAGAAAGUGUGACAUCUCUGUGUUCUUUUUGCUCAAGAUCACUUGUGUGUCUUUUGUGGUUCCAUAUGAAUUUUUGGAUGUUUUCUUAUUUCUAUGAAAAAAAUCAUUGGAAUUUUGAUAGAGAUUACAUUGGCUUUGGAUAGUAUGAACAUUUUAACAGUAUUGAUGCCUUCAGUCCAUGAACACAAAAUAUUUUCCAUUUAUUUGUGUCUUCAACUUCUUUCAUCAAUGUUUUACAGUUUUUAGUGCAUAGAUCUUUCACCUCCGUGGUUUACUUUAUUAGAAAGUAUUUUGGGAGUAGAUAUUGUAAAUGGGGUCAUUUUCUUGAUUUCUCUUUUGGAUUGUUCAUUGAUAGUAUUUAGAAACAAUACUGAUUUUUAUACAAUGAUUUUGUAUUCUAACUAUCGAAUUCUUUCAUUCUAACAUUUUUUGGUGGAAUCUUUUGGAUUUUCUAUAUAUAAAAUCAUAUCAUCUGCAAACAGAGAUCAUUUGGAUGCCUUUAAAAAUGGCUUUCACUUAUCUAAUUGCUUUAAGACUUCCAGAACAAUGUUGAAUAGAAGCGAAAAGAGUAGGCAUCCUUCUUAUUUCUGAUCUUAGAAGAAAAGCUUUUAAUUUUUCCCCAUUGACUAAAAUAGUAUCUAUGGGAUGGUCACAGAUGGUUUUUAAUGUGUAAAGUAAAUCAUGUGUAUAUGUACCUUUUUAAUGUAAUUUUUUUAUAAUCAUGCAAGGAUGUUAAAUUUUGUCAAAUGUUUUUUUUCCACAUCUACUGGGAUAAUCAUAUGGUUUUCAUGCUUCAUUCUGUUAAUGUGGUAUUUUACAUUUAUUUGUGUAUUUUAAACUACCCUUAUAUCCCAGGAAUAAAUCCCAUUUGAUUGUGGUGAAUGAUCAUUUUAAUAUGCUGUUGAAUUCAGCUUGUUAAUGUUUCGUUGAGAUUUUUUUUUUAAUGUUCAUCAGAGAUAUAGGUGUUUAAUUAUAUUUUCUUAUAGUGUCCUUGUCUGACUUUGGUGUCUGGAUAAUGAGCCUUAUAAAAUGAGCUUGGAAGUUUUCUCUCUAAGAUUUCUUGAAAGAGUUCCAGAAUUCAGCUUUGAAGAUAUCGGGUCCUGGACUUCUCUUUGAUAAGAUAUGUUUUAUUGCUGAUUCAAUUUCCUUGCUCAUUAUGGAUCUGUUUAGAUUUUUCUAUUUCUUCAUGAUUUCGUCUUGGUAGGUUGUACAUGUCUAGAAAUAUAUCCACUUCUAGUUUACCCAAUUAGUAAAUUCAUCAUUGACAAGAUACUUUAAUCUACCAUUUGUAUUUCUAUUUUAUUGAUUGACUUAAUGAGAGCCUUUAGUAUUUCCUCUCUUUUGUGCAAAACAUAGGUUCUGAUUAGAAAUUGAAUUUAAUUCUCAUGCUUCUUUAGCCUCUCUCAUUCUUGAAUUUUUCCUUUUUUAAAAAUGACUUUGACAUGUUUGAAAAGUGCAUAUCCCCCCACCACAACUGUUUAAUAGCACCGUGAACUUAUUUCGACAGUUUCGUGUCUGUACAUGGAAUCACACACUAUGGAUAUCCUUGCGUGUGGUCUGGCUUUAGGCUUGUUUCAUUUUUUUGGUGAGCUGUGGUUUGUGUAUUCUUAUCAUUGCACAAUGUUGUAUUGGGUAAAGGUACUAGAGUAUUCAUUCAUUUUCUUUUUGGUGGGCCUUUGGGUAGUUUCCUGCAUAGGGUUAUUAAGACUUUGGUGCUAAGAAUGUUCAAGAACAUGUCUAGAUGUGUGUGUAUGGAGGGAGACAAGGUAGUUUUAUCUACAGCUUUAGUAGAUUCUGACAGUUUUCUGAUGUGGUUAUACCAAUUUAAACUCCAUCACAUGUAUAUGAAUGAUCUGAAUGCUUCAAAGACCAAAAUAAUUAAGUACCAAUAGAGCCAGAGCAGAGACUUAUAAAUCAUUGAGAAAACCCUUUUAUGGGUCCCAUAUCUGCAAUAAAUACAUGAAUAACUAUGAAAAAUAGGGAGGGCUUCUUCUUAAAAUAGAAUAUCAAGUGCAAGUAGUAAAUGAGGAGAGAGCACUAGAGUUGGAAAAUGGCUAUUUGUUAGAUGAAAGUAAUAAAUAAGUUCAAGAGAUCUAUUGUACUACAGGAUAACUAUAGUUAAUAACAAUGUAUUGCAUAAUUGCUGCAAGAAGAGAUUUUAAGUGUUUCAUCACAAAAAAUUAUGUGAGAUAACACACUUGUUAAUUAGCUUGAUUUAGUCCUUGCGCAAUGUACAUAUUUCAACACAUAGUGUCAUACACAUAAUAUAUAUAUAUAUAUAUAUAUAUAUAUAUAUAUAUAUAUAUAUAUAUAUAGUUUUAUUUUUAUCAAUUAAAAAAGAACAGGACUUGAAUAACACAACAGUUAUAAAAAAACUGAGCUUUUUGUUUUGUUGGUUUUUCUCUUUGGAUAAAGUAGUUUAUAGAUGUCAGUUAUGUCUGGUUGGUUGAUGGUGCUGAGUUCUGAUAGAGAAAUCUUGAAAUAUCCAACUAGAAUAGUGGAUUUAUCUAAUUUUCUAUUUCCAUCAGUUUUGUCUCAUGCAUUUCGAUACUCUGUUGUUAGUUGGGGGUUUGACCCAUUUAUCAUUAUGUAAUGCAACUCUUUUUUUUUAAAAUAGGAGGUGUCUUUUUAAAUAAGAGGUGUCUGCUUUUUAAAAAUAAUUUUAGUUGUAGAUGGAAAGUACCUUUAUUUUAUUUAUUUUCUUUUAUGUGGUGCUGAGGUUCCAGCCCAGUGCCUCACAUGUGCUUAGGCAAGUGCUCUACCACUGAGAUACCACCGCAGCCCUGUAACGUCCCUCUUCAUCCCUGGUGACUUUUCUUACUCUGAUAACAGUUAUGUCUGAAAUCAAUAUAGCUAUUCUUACUUUCUUUUGAUUAAUGUUAGUAUGGUAUAUUUUCCUUCAUCUAUUUAUUUAUUUUAACCUAUAAGUGUCUUUAUAUUUACAAUGAGGUUCUUGUAGGUAAGAUAUAUAAAUACAGAUUUUUUUGAUCCACUGUGACAGUAUCUACUAAUUGGUCCAUUUAGACCAUUGAUUUUCAAAGGAUUAUUGAUAUUGUUGAUUAUUAUUUACCAUAUUUAUUACCAUAUUCAAAGGAUUAUUGAUAUUGUUGAUUAUUAUUUACCAUAUUUACCAUAAUAUUACCAUAUUUAUUAUUACUGCUUUUUAAAAUUUGUUGCACUUGUUAUUUACUCCUAUUAUUGUCUACUCCAUUUCUGCCUAUUUUUGGUUUUAAUUGAGUAUAUGAUAUGAUUCUACUUUCUCUCCUUUCUUAGCCAUAUUAAUUAUGUUUUUAUUAUUCAGUGAUCAUCCUAGUGUUUGCAAUACAUAAUUAUAACUAAUUCUAAUCCUGUUCACAUAACAUUAAACUGCUUUUCUGGUCAUGAAAAUAAUUACUCCCUGCAGUCUGUUUCAUCAUUGCAGUGACUCACAUGUGCAUGCACAUACAGCUGAAUACAUUGUUGCCUUCAUUGUCUGAAGCAAACUUUAAUCUGUUGCAUCAACAAAGAAUAAGAAAUGUUUUUCUUUUCCUCUCAUUUAUUCAAUUUCUCUGAGGUUUUUAAAACUUUUUUUAUGUCAAUCUGAAUUUCUGACAUAUCAUUUUCCUUCUCCUUGAAGAACUUCUUUCAACAUUCCUAACAAGGCAAGUAUAUUGGUAACAUAUUCCCUCACUUUUUGUUUGUGUGAGAAAGUCUUCAUUUCUUCUUUACUUUUGAGAGACAAUUUUGCAGGAACAGAAUUCUAGGAUAGUGAGUUCAUUCCUCUCAAUACUUUGAAUGUAUCAUUCCACUUUCUGCUUGCAUUGUUUCUAAAGUGAAAUCACAUGUAAUUUUUAUUUUCACUCCUCUAUGGGUAAGUUCUUAAAUUUUUUUUCUGGCAUCUUUCAGGAUUUUUUCUGUAUCUCUGACUUUCUGUAAUUUGAAUGUGAUAUGCCUGAGAGAGAAAGGGAGGGAAAGAAAAAGAAAGAGGGGAAAGAGGAGAAGAGAUGGAGAGAGAGAGAGAGAGAGAGAGAGAGAGAGAGAAUUAUAUUUAUCAUAAUUAGUGUUCUCUGAGAUUUCUCAAUCUGUGAUUUGUGUCUGAUGUUAACUUGUUAAUUUUUGGGAAAAAUCUCAAUCAUCAUCAUCAUUAUUCCUAAUAUUUCUUCUGUUCCUUUCUUUUUUCAUCUUCUGCUUACGUUCCUAUUAAGUCCAUCUAUACCUGUAAGAGUGGUCUCACAAUUUUGCUGCAUUUUUACUUUGUACCAGACAUUGAACCAGGGGUGCUUAACCACUAAGCCAUGUUCUAUACUGGUUUUUCUUUUCUUUUCUUUCUUCCUUCCUUCCUUCCUUUCUUUUUUUGAGACAGGGUUUUACUAAGUUGCUUAGGGCCUUACUAGGUUGUUGAGGCUGGAUUUGAACUUUCAGUCCUCCUGCCUCAGUCUCCUAAGCUGCUGGGAUUAUAGAGUGUGUCACAGACCUGGCUGUUCCACCUCCCCCCGCCCCAGUCUUUUUUCUAUUUUUUAGUUUUGGAGAUUUCUGUUGAAAUAUCAAGCUCAGAGAUUUUUCCUCAGCCAUGUACAUCUGCCCAUCUGCCCAUCAAAGGCAUUAUUCAUUUCUCUUACAGCGUUUUUCAUCUCUAGCAUUUCUUUUUAUUCUUUUCUUGGAAUUUACAACUUUCCACUUGCAUUGCCCAUCUGCUCACACAUGCUGUCAACUUUAUCCAUUGGAACUCUUGGCUAUUAAUCAUGGUUGUUUUAAUUCUACUAUUUAAUAAUUCCAAUAUUCCUGCCAUUUCUGAGUCUGAUUCUCAUAGCUCUGUCUCUUUAAACUAUGUUUUUUCCUAGUAUGCUUUGCAAAUUUUUGAUAGAUGGAAUUAUGUAUUGAGUAAAAGAAUUUUUAUAAAUAAGUGGUAUUAAGUUGUAGAGUUGAGGAAGCCUUCUACAGUUCUUGCAUAGACCUCAGUCUUUUAGGAAGCCUGCUCCUCUGGACUGUGAACUUCAUAACUUCUUCCUAAAUUUCACUUUUGUGGAAGGGACAGGAUGACUGGAUGAAGCUAAAGUGGGUUGUUUUCCUCCCCCUAAGUUAGUUAGGCUCUGAUACAACUCAAGCAGGUUAGACUGGUUAAAGUUUCUCCUGAGGAUUAGAUUUUGUUAAGAAGAAUAGAAUGCUCUGGCACAUUUCAAAAUUAUUCCUUUUCCUCUCUUCUGAAAGCACAAAGGGAUUUUUCCCCCCAGUAGUCACUAUGUGGGUAGGGGUUGGGAUUUAGCUCAUUGGCAGAGUGCUUGCCUAUCACGGGCAAGCCCCUGGGUUCUUCCUCAGCCCUGGGAGGGAAAAAAAGAAAAGAAAAGAAAAAGAAAAUCUGGUAAAGCUCCAGGAGGUGAAGCCCACAAAUGUGUGAGGCCCCUUUAAAACUGGGACCCCCCUGGAGAUUUUACUCCAAGUCUUGUUCACACUCAGCAUCUAGUGAUUCGUCAAAUACAGUUUAGAAUUUCCUGCCUUGGCAAUGGUUCUUGGGAAGGUUUCUAAUCCUGUGUUUCUGCUCUAUUAAGUCAUGAUUCUCGCUAUUUGCUAAUGUGGGGAGCAUCAGUAUUCCCUGUGGCCACGCAUUGGUUAUGAUCUCACUUCUCUCAUGGAUCUAAGAAGAGUGGAUCUUUCAGGUUUUUACUUGUUGUUAGGAGGGAACGGUGAUUAUUAUUUAUUUAUCAUAGGGGUGGACUCAUAGUUUAUAAUUUACUACUGUACUUAAUUAUUUUGGUGCUCAGUUGCCCUAGGUUUGGCUAGUGAAGCCCUUACUAGUGGGCUUCUUUGUUCUUAUGAUAUGUGAUAACCCUAGUCAUUUGAGGCACUUAAUAUCUGGCAGAAAAAGAUUACCCAGGCUUUUCUAGUGGGUACAUGCUUUAGUCUCAAAUUCAAUCAUUUUUAUGAAGUGUCUUAGUUCAGGGAAGUUAAUAGGGACCAAGAUCUGGUUCAAGAUAUGCUCACUGCUUCUGGAAAAUCUUUGUUUCUGUACCUUUAGGUUGAGAGAACAAGGAUGUUUCCACCUAUAUACAUACAUACAAAUACACGGGGACCUGCAUGAAUAUAUAUAUAGAUAAAUACAUAUACAUGUAAACAUAUAUAUUUUAGUGAGUUUAUAGCAAUUUCUUUUUCUAUGUAUCUCUGCAUUCUUUUUUCUUGUCUUUUUUAUAAUUCAUAUAUUUUUUUUUUCAGUUAGAGCUCUGGGUCUCUACAACAAUACUUUUACUUAUUUUCUCAGUACACCUAAAAUAGUUGCUUCAUCCUUCCCUCUACAUAAAACAAGUCUGGGGGUGGGGAAUUAGAAAUUGUCUGUAAUUUUGCUCCCUGGCCAAUCAUCCACCAUGAACUGAGGGCACAUAGUCAAAUAUUACAUUCAUUGCUAGGAUUAGUUCUUUCUUUUCCUGUUUUCCAUGUGUGUGAUUUUACAAUUACUUUGUAACCUAAUUGGAAUGAUUGUUCCCAUUUGUUCUCCCUUGUGUUUCUCUUGUCCCACUCUUAUUGCCUUAAUUAAUUUUUGAGUAUAGGAAAGGUCAUAUUUCUAGAAGAAACACUAUACAGAAAGGCAUCUUGAAGAGGUGCUGUUUUUCUCCUUCUCUACUCCCACAUUCCUCUUACAGGUAACCAACUAAUUGCUUUGCUUAUUUCUCACCUUUCCUGUGAUUCUUUUUGUAAAGGUAAAAAGAUAGUUAUGUAUUUUCUUGUUUUUCCUUCUGUUUGUAGUAACAGUAGAACACCACAUGUGCUCUUUUUAAAAAUAGCUUUAUUCAGGGAUAAUCUACAUAGCAUGAAAUUUACCCACUUUAAGUGUGUCUUUACACAUCUUUUAGUCCCAUAUAUAGUUGUGCAAGUGCUAUGAUUUGAAUAUGGUUUACACUCCCCAAAACUCAUUGUGGCAGUGUUGGAAGAUGGAAGGACCUUUAAGAGGUGAUUCAAUCACGAAGAAGGAUUCAUAUAGUUUUUGCAGGACUGGAUUAGUUUUGCCAGAGCAAUUGUUAUGCGGUGAGGUUGCUCCUAGUAGUUUAUCUCUUCUGCAGGCACCCACUUGCCUUCUGCUUCUCUGCUGUGUUAUGACGCACUUGAGGCCCUCACCAGAUGUGACUGCUCAAUCCUGACUUCCAGCUUCCAGAACUAUGAGGUAAACAACUUCAUUCCUUUAUGAACUUACCCAACCUCAGGUCUUCUGUUAUAGCAAUAGAAAAUGGAUUAAAACAGCAACCAUUGCAAUAAUUCAAUUUUAGACCACUGCUAUAAUUCAAUAGCUUCUCUCACAAACUAUUGGCAGAUGGUCCCCAAUCUCUAGUCCCAAGGCAGCCACUGAUCUUCAUUUUGUCUAAUUUUCCCCUUUCUAGACUUUUCAUAUAAGUGAAAUUAUACAAUAGGCAGUAUUUUGUAUCCAGCUUUUUACUUAACAUAAUGUUUUGAGGUGCAUUUAUAUUGUUGGGUGCACCAAUAUUUGUCUCCAUUUUAUUGGAUAAAACAAAAUAGUUUCCCAUCAUAUAUUUAUACCACCAGUUGUCUAUCUUUUCACCAGUUGAUAGAUUUUGGAUUGUUUCAAGUUUUUUUGUUAUUAUGAACAAUGCUCUAUGAACAUUUGUUCGUGUGUGCGAGUCUUUGGACAGACCAUGUGUUUUCUUUGCUUUGGGGUAGAUACCUACAAGUAGAAUUGCAGGGGCAUAUGGUAAGUGUAUGUUUACUUACACAUACAGAAGCUGUCAAACUGUUUUACAAAGUGGCUGUAUAGUUUUACACUCCCAUGAGCAAUGCAUUUAUAUUAUUAUAUUAAAUGUGAGCAAGUUGCUGAAAAUUAAGUAAGCCAGAUAUUGUACUUGAGAUCUUGCUUGUUUUUCACUUAAGCGGUCCUUUUCUUCAUUAGUUGAAAGAUAAAAUAAGAAUACAGAACAAAAUGUGACCAAAUUAAAAAAACAAAGAGACCCAGAAAACUGUUUCCUCUCCCUUAAUAGUGAAUGGAAACAUAUAGGGCGACAUUAUGAAGGGAAGAACUUCUUAGCCUCUUAAAAGUAAAGUUUAGUUGCAUUAUAAAUCUGAAUUACUUCUCUCCAGUGAGAUAGUUUAUGGAAGGAAGCAUCUCUUUUUGAUGAUAGAUAGGUGGAAAAUUGAUGAAGUUAGGGUGAGGUCAUUAAUCCCACAUUUUGAGAAAUUGAGAGAGAAUUCAAUAAUCUAAAGGUUUUUAAGAGGAGAAAAUUUAAUACAGUUCCCAAGCCGUGCUUUUUGCUUUGAACAGGGUGCUUUGGUGGUUGUAAAAAAAUCAGCCAUAGAAGCAAGAAUCAGCUGCUCAUUGAGUACUUCCAACCAGAGUGGGACAAACACCAGAUAUUUGCACAAUGCUCCCUAGUGCAACAAGACAAAACCUGCCCCUGAAACAGAAUUGGAGACAACUGUAACUUCUUAAGAACCAACACAGGUUUAUGCUGGCCAUUAUUUAGGGGAUCACCCAUAUAGUGCAUUGGGAAUCCUGUAGGAUUCAAGGUAACCCGAGGAUCCAUAUCAGUAAACAGACUUUCAGUUUAUUUGUAAGUUUUUUUUUUUUUCCCAAUACUGGGGAUUGAACCCAGGGCCUCCCACAUGCUAGACAAGGGCUCUACAAUUGAGCUACAUCCCUGAUGCUCUUUGAAAUCAACUUCAGUUACAUUUAAAAAUAAUCAAAGUUUGUCUUUAAAAAAGACCUAUUUACAUUCCUCUUCAAUGUUUACUUCUCUUUGUUUCUGAUAUUCCUCUAGAAUAAAUUCUCUGUCCCACAUACCCAGCUUAUGUAUCAUUUUGGGGGGCCUGAAUGCAGUCAAGAUAAAUACGAAGCAGUAAAACUCUCUUUGAUGAAAGAUUCAUUUAAAAAUAUUAAGCUUGUAUUAUGUGCUUCAGCGAAAUGAAGGAAUAGUGGGAUAGUAAAAGAUUUUCCUGAUAUCCAUCCAGCUAUGUCAUGUAGGCGGGUAGUUGCUUUCUCAUCGUUUCAGCUCUCAUCAGGUUCAUGAAUUACUGGGCCCAAGGUUUUUAAAAACUUUUAUUUUUUAAGAGAGAGAGGAAAAUUAUGCCUGAGAGUUAGGUUGUAUUGGAAUAAACCAAAUAAAAAUAUUUUCUAUAUCAGGAAAAUAUUUAUCUCUGUAUCUGGUUAACUGUAGCUUUACAGAGAUAUAAGUAAGUACUGAGUAAUUAUGAAAGGAGAAAAAUUGAAGGAUAAGAUAAUAUGUGUCCAGAAGGAAUGGUGGAUAUAGCUGACAAAAUGUGCCUAAUUAUCAUGUAGCGCCCAUUGUAAUACCCAUUCUGUGUAGUUUCCUUGUUUCUAGAAAUCAUUUUCCACUUAUAUAGGCACAUGCCACAUUGAUUUUUAUCAUGGGUUUCUCUUUUUAAGGUUACAGCUGUGCCAUUCCACUGAUGGGAGGGUAUUUGAGAAACGUUGGAGAGGAAACAUGCGGAUGUUAGUACUUCCAGCAUGCUUGGGCAGUGUGUCAAUUCAGGAUUGAUGCCACGCUGUUCACAACACCCCGUGUGCACUCUGGGCUGGCCAUGUGAUGAGUUUUGGCCAAGAGUCCAGUAUCAAACACAAUAUGACAGAUGGUGGGAAAACUAUGAAUGUAUACCUGGGAUGCUGCUAACUCCCAGUGAAAUAUUUAAUACUUAGAAAACUUUUGACCAUCCUAUCUUAUUCCUGUGGUUACAGAACUUUAUUUUGGGGGGAGAAAUCUGGCAGUGUGGUUGCCUUUCCCUCUUUUUGGUGGUGUGUUGGUAAAUGUUUUAACAACUAGUUCUCUGGGAAAUUAAAAAGCAUUAAUUUGCUGGAUUUAUAGCAUUUGCUGAUUUCUUUUUUAAAAAAUGUUUUUAUUAAGUCAGGUGCAGUGGUAUAUGCUUGUAAUCCCAGUGGCUCAGGAGGCUGAGGCAGGAAGAUCCCAAGUACAAAGCCAGCCUCAGCGAAGAUGAGGCGCUAAGAAACUCAGUGAGACUCUUUCUCUAAAUAAAAUACAAAAUAGGGCUGGGGAUGUGGCUCAGUGGUUGAGUGCCCCUGGGUUCAAUCCCCAGUACACCCCCCGCAAUUUUUUAUUAGUUCAUUAGAACUAUACAUACCAUAAUAUCAUUUUUAAAUUUUUAUUUGUUCUUUUUAGAUAUACAUGGUAGUGUGGGGUUCAUUUUGACGUAAUCACACAUGCAGGGAAUAUAAUUUGCUGAUUUAUGUGGUGCGAACACUCUCACUGUGACUGAUUUCAAGCCACCAGUCUGAUGUCACUUAUUAUGGAAUUUGGAAGUUAUUAUUGUGUAGUAUUUCCACUGAAUAGAUGCAAUAAAUAUAAAUAAUACCAUAAGCAUAAGCAAUAGCCAGAGAUAGGAAAUAACUCUGGCAUGAUGAGUUUUCAGUAUUGACUACCUUUGAUAUUAACUUAAUUUAAUUUUAUAUGCAUGUAAUUUUAGUUUGUAAUCAUGGUUGUGUUUAAUAGCUAGUGUGCCAAAUUCCUAUAACUUUAAUUGCUGAGUCUCACAGUGUGAAUUGGCUGUGGCCCCUUUUGUGCUUUAUCUUAUCAGAGCUGUACUGAUCUCCACAAGAAGGAGGCUCCUGGAGGUACCUCAUCAGGAAACUGGAAUGAAGUGAAGAAGCAAGCUAGAGGGAUGGGAGGUGGGGUCGACUCAGCCAGAAUCUCUGUUGGGUUUUUAUUGCAGGAUUUCCUGCCCUUUUCUAUUGUGGAUCUCCAGGUUUAAUAGGCAAUGCUGACUGCAUUGUGUACAGAAACCAGCUCACAGCAAUACCCUUGUUUCUUACAACUUACUCUUUUCCCUUCUAUCACCUUCUUGAUACUCCUGGCUACAUGAGCUCAAUCUCUAAAUACUGCACAUUUCAAAUGUUCUAUUUUCUAGUAUUUCUUUCUUUAAAUCAGGGGUAGAACUGUGGCCUCAAGUUCUGCCUCCACUAUCUAUUCUUGAGGGUGAAGUUCCCAAGCAUAAUUUCUUCAUUGAUGCUCCAUUUGUAAAAAUGUUUCAUUAUUUAAUGGUAACAUAUUCAAAAGCCAUAGUUCAGGGCUGUUACUCUAAAGUUUAUGCACUUGGCUUAUCUGAGCUUCCCCCUGCCCCUGCAUGUGUGUGGAUUUCUCCAUAUCUCAGUCUCCACCUGAUCUUCCCCUUUAUUUUUUUUUCUCUCUUCCUCUGUCUAUGGCUCCUUUAAUUAGUCCA